UUUUUUGAAACGUCUCAUUUUAAUCAAGAGAACAUAUUUAUCUGGUGGGAUACCAUAACAAAUAUUUUCUUUACUUUUUAACACUGUCGUCUGCAGGAGG